rnacentral:ribozyme from 13 species
CGUAUUGCCAAAAAGAAACACAAUACCACCAACAAUAGAAACAAAAAAAGAGAAAUCUCAAAUACUGUUGUUUUGUUGUUGUUGUUGGAUUUGUUGGAUAUGUGAAUUUUUUCUCGUUUCUUUUU